GAUUGAUACUAAGCCAUGUGAGUCUUUGUAGCAAUACAAGGCAUACGGCUCAGUAACACGUAGUCAACCUACCUUAUAGACGGGGAUAACCUCGGGAAACUGAGAAUAAUACCCGAUAGAUCAUUAUGCCUGGAAUGGCUUAUGGUUGAAAUGAAUUUCGCUAUAGGAUGGGACUGCGGUCUAUCAGCUUGUUGGUGAGGUAAUGGCCCACCAAGGCUAUAACAGAUACGGGCUCUGAGAGGAGAAGCCCGGAGAUGGGUACUGAGACACGGACCCAGGUCCUAUGGGGCGCAGCAGGCGAGAAAACUUUGCAAUGUGCGAAAGCACGACAAGGUUAAUCCGAGUGUUUCCUGCUAAAGGAAUCUUUUGUUAGUCAUAAUACCACUAUCGAAUAAGGGGUGGGCAAGUUCUGGUGUCAGCCGCCGCGGUAAAACCAGCACCUCAAGUGGUCAGGAGGGUUAUUGGGCCUAAAGCAUCCGUAGCCUGCUUUGUUAGUUUUCGGUUAAAUCCAUAUGCUCAACAUAUGGGCCGUCGAGAAUACUGCAUAGCUAGGGAGUGGGAGAGGUAGACGGUACUCCGUAGGAAGGGGUAAAAUCCUUUGAUCUAUGGAUGACCACCUGUGGCGAAGGCGGUCUACCAGAACACGUCCGACGGUGAGGGAUGAAAGCU
rnacentral:rRNA from 1 species